rnacentral:rRNA from 1 species
UACGUAGGGUGCGAGCGUUAAUCGGAAUUACUGGGCGUAAAGCGUGCGCAGGCGGUUGGCAAAGUCAGCUGUGAAAGUCACAGGCUCAACCUGUGAAUGCCGCAGGAAACUGUCUGGCUUGAGUCCGGAAGGGGCGAGUGGAAUUCCUGGUGUAGCGGUGAAAUGCGCAGAUAUCAGGAGGAACACCAAUGGCGAAGGCAGCUCGCUGGAACGGUACUGACGCUGAGGCGCGAAAGCCAGGGGAGCAAACGGG